UACAGAGGGUGCUAGCGUUGCUCGGAAUCAUUGGGCGUAAAGCGCGUGUAGGCGGUCCGGUAAGUCCGCUGUGAAAGUCGGGGGCUCAACCCUCGAAUGCCGGUGGAUACUGUCGGGCUAGAGUGCGGAAGAGGCGAGUGGAAUUCCUGGUGUAGCGGUGAAAUGCGCAGAUAUCAGGAGGAACACCGGUGGCGAAGGCGGGUCUCUGGGCCGAUACUGACGCUGAGGAGCGAAAGCGUGGGGAGCAAACAGG
rnacentral:rRNA from 1 species